UUUGACAUAUUAGGAGUGUAUCAGCUAUUUGAUAACUGUCCUAAGUUGACUGCUUUCUACCUGUUCUGUCAUUCACCAUUAAAUACUUGUAAAUCUGUUCGAAAGCAUAUUCUGAAAAGCUAUGGUCCAAGAAGUCAAUCAUUAAGUGUUGCAGUACAUCCACUGACACAUGACAGAUUGCCAGACAUAAUUGCAUCAAUACCAGACGUUCAUCUUAAAGAAAUUGUCAAGUAUAAUAAUCAUGAUGUCUCCUGUUUUUUGUGGAAGUCAGCACUUGGAUAAAUAAACUCAUUGGGUUCAGAAUUGAAUACAUGGUAAUGGGAGGACCACUUCAACCAUUCACUGUAAUGAAACGGCAUUGUCAUAAUAAACUAGCAAUGAAGAAUGUCACUGCCCCUGCUUGGUUUUGAACUCGUACACUAAAUCUCAGACAACUAAUAAAUAGAUUGGCAAAGCGGGCAUUUCUUUU